AAGAUUUAAUUGUGACAAAAAUAUAUUAGACAGUCAGAAAGGAAGGGACCUUUACCCAAGAACGAAAAAAAGAGAGAGAGAGAAAAUGCAAAGGGAGGGACCCUUUGCCGGCAUUGCUUGAUAUUUUCUCUGUGGGUUGACGCUGAAACGCUGCCGCUGCUUGAUUGAGGACCAUCUGGCGUUGCUUGCUUGCGUUCUCAACUGCUGCUUGUAUUUCCCAGAAGGACGCGGCGUUUUCAUUAUUUCUAAUUUAUUCUUUGAGAUUCUCUUGGUCGUGGGAUUUCUUGUGAAUGUGAUCAAUAUAAUGUAGAAAAUUGAUUGUGAUAUAAUAACUGAACGCGUAAUGCGAGAUCCCUGGGCCUUCAAAUUUCAAACCUGCGGUGCGGUGUGAACUGAGAAGUUUCGCUUGGAUGGCGCAAAAAAAGAAGAAAAAA
rnacentral:lncRNA from 1 species